rnacentral:rRNA from 1 species
GAUGAACGCUGGCGGCGUGCCUAAUACAUGCAAGUCGAGCGAACGGACGCUAAUCUUGCUUUUCUGAUUUUAUCGGCGGACGUGUGAUUAACACGUGUAUAACCUACCUAUAUUUCUUGUAUAACUUCGUGAAACCUGUUCUAAUACCGUAUAAUCUUUUUAACCUCAUUGUUCAAAAUUUAAUGACGUUCUUUCUGUCACUUAUAGAUUGAUCCGCGCUGCAUUAGCUAUUUGGUAAGGUAACGGCUUACCAAGGCAACGAUGCAUAGCCGACCUGAGAGGGUGAUCGGAGACACUGGAAGUGAGAAACGGAACAGAGGCGUACGGGAGGCAGCAGUAGGGAAUAUGCCGCAAUGGGCGAAAGCAUGACGGAGAAAAGCGGCGUGAGUGAUGAAGGUCUUCGGAUCGUAAAACUCUGUUAUUAGGGAAGAAAAAAUGUGUAAGAAACUGUGAACAUAGUGACGGUAACAAAACAGAAAGCAACGGCUAACUACGUG